rnacentral:rRNA from 1 species
CAAUAGCGUAUAUUAAAGCUGUUGCGGUUAAAAAGCUCGUAGUUGGAUUUCUGUCAAGGACAACUGGUCCGCCCUUCGGGUGAGCACAUAGUUUGGUCUUGGCAUCUUGUUGGAAACUGUUGCUGCACUUGGUUGUGUGGCGCAGCGUCCAGCACUUUCACUUUGAGGAAAUUGGAGUGUUUCAAGCAGGCACAUGCCUUUGGACACAGUAGCAUGGAAUAAUUAGAUUGGGCUUUUGCUCCAACUUGUCGGUUUCUGGAGCUGAGGUGAGAAUUAAUGGGGAUUGUUGGGGGCAUCCGAAUUUAGCCGUCAGAGGUGAAAUUCUUGGAUCUGCUAAAGACGGACUACUGCGAAAGCAUUUGCCAAGGAUGUUUUCAUUGA